CACGGAUCCAGAGUUUGAUCAUGGCUCAGAACGAACGUUGGCGGCGCGUCUUAAGCAUGCAAGUCGAGCGGGAUUGGGUAGCUUGCUACUCAUGAGAGCGGCGGACUGGUGAGUAACGCGUGGGUGACGUACCCUUUAGACGGGGAUAGCUCCUAGAAAUAGGAGGUAAUACCGGAUACGAUGCUGAGUGUCAGAGGCUCAGCAUGAAAGGUUCUUUUGAACCGCUGAAGGAGCGGCCCGCGUACUAUUAGCUUGUUGGUGAGGUAACGGCCCACCAAGGCGACGAUAGUUAUCCGGCCUGAGAGGGUGAACGGACACAUUGGGACUGAGAUACGGCCCAGACUCCUACGGGAGGCAGCAGCUAAGAAUAUUCCGCAAUGGACGAAAGUCUGACGGAGCGACGCCGCGUGGAUGAUGAAGGCCGGAAGGUUGUAAAAUCCUUUUAGAUAUGAGAAAUAAGCAGGGUGAGAGAAACGCCCUGUGGUGACUGUAGUAUCAGAAUAAGGGGCGGCUAAUUACGUGCCAGCAGCCGCGGUAACACGUAAGCCCCGAGCGUUGUUCGGAAUUAUUGGGCGUAAAGGGCAUGUAGGCGGCUUUGCAAGUCUGGUGUGAAAGGCAGGAGCUUAACUCCUGGACUGCGCUGGAAACUGCAUGGCUUGAGUCACUGAGGGGCAUCCGGAAUUCCUGGUGUAGGGGUGAAAUCUGUAGAUAUCAGGAAGAACACCGAUGGCGAAGGCAGGGUGCCAGCGGAUGACUGACGCUGAGGUGCGAAGGUGCGGGGAGCAAACAGGAUUAGAUACCCUGGUAGUCCGCGCUGUAAACGAUGAAUGCUAGGUAUUGGGGGAAUAUCCCUCGGUGCCGCAGUUAACGCAAUAAGCAUUCCACCUGGGGAGUACGAUCGCAAGAUUGAAACUCAAAGGAAUUGACGGGGCCCCGCACAAGCGGUGGAGCAUGUGGUUUAAUUCGAUGCAACGCGAAGAACCUUACCAAGUCUUGACAUACCAUUGAAUAGUAUAGAGAUAUGCUAGUCUUCGGACAAUGGAUACAGGUGGUGCAUGGUUGUCGUCAGCUCGUGUCGUGAGAUGUUGGGUUAAGUCCCGCAACGAGCGCAACCCUUAUUUUCAGUUACUAACGCGUAGAGGCGAGGACUCUGAAGAGACUGCCGGGGACAACUCGGAGGAAGGUGGGGACGACGUCAAAUCAUCAUGCCCCUUAUGACCUGGGCUACACACGUGCUACAAUGGCCACCACAGAGAGGUGCGAACCCGUAAGGGGGAGCGGAUCUCAAAAAAGUGGUCCCAGUUCGGAUUGUGGGCUGCAACCCGCCCACAUGAAGUCGGAGUUGCUAGUAAUCGCGGAUCAGCAUGCCGCGGUGAAUACGUUCCCGGGCCUUGUACACACCGCCCGUCAAGCCAUGGAAGAUGGUGGUACCUGAAGUCUGUACCCGCAAGGAGCGGCCUAAGGUAAAACUGUUAACUGGGGCUAAGUCGUAACAAGGUAGCCGUAAGCUUCAC
rnacentral:rRNA from 1 species